rnacentral:rRNA from 1 species
UACGGGGGGGACAAGCGUUGUUCGGAAUUACUGGGCGUAAAGGGCUCGUAGGCGGCCAACUAAGUCAGACGUGAAAUCCCUCGGCUUAACCGGGGAACUGCGUCUGAUACUGGAUGGCUUGAGGUUGGGAGAGGGAUGCGGAAUUCCAGGUGUAGCGGUGAAAUGCGUAGAUAUCUGGAGGAACACCGGUGGCGAAGGCGGCAUCCUGGACCAAUUCUGACGCUGAGGAGCGAAAGCCAGGGGAGCAAACGGG